rnacentral:lncRNA from 1 species
UUUUGAACCAUCAGCAGCUACAAUUACCCAAAAGAGAUUGCAUGAGAUUGUAUCCAUGAACUUUCUGUCACAGAGGAGGGGUGGGGGGCUCAUAAGGCCACACCCCAUCCCAAGAGUCAUAGGAAGUUAACACUGGAGGGGGAGGAGCAUUAGGCCACGCCCAUUCCUUAGGACAAAUCACAGUUGCUGAAGAGAGGGGCAAAGAGAUUGUGGUAUUGUGCCCUUUUCUGUGGUAUUGUGCCCUAAGCUGCCUGUGCUUCUGCUACUAAUCUUGGACCCAGGCUCCUGUAAUGAGGCUGCCCUCAUUGAACUGAAUGUCCACCAAGCUACAGUUGAGUGGGAUCAUGUCUUUCGCCGUGGCUGGUUCACUCUCUGCAGUGAGGAUGGAGCCAUCGGCAUGAAAGUGGAUGCUGCUCAUGACCAAAACCGCUGGAGACCAGGUGCAGGAGGGGCAAACUGAUGCUUCUCAACAGACCGUGACACGGCUUUCUGAAAAUAAGCAGCAAUGACCAUUCGCCUUUCAGAAAACUCUAAAGACAAAGACAGGCGCGCAAGAUUUCAGUUAACUCUUACUCCAUUGGUGGGAGAGGGAAAAUAAUAUAUAAGACAGGAAAUGAGUAAGAAGAACAGGAUCCCUGAGACAAGAGCGAUGGCAAGGAAGUGAACACUGAAGAAGCUCGGAGGGCGAGCAUGGGCUCUGACAGAUUAAGAGCUGAGCAGCUCUGGAACUCUGCUUUGCCACCUUAGUCAGUUCCUCUUCACACAGGUCUGCAAAGGAGACAAUCAUGGGACACGGAGAUGGACGUAUCCAUAGCAACAGGGUAAGCAAGCAAUGGCUAAGGCUGAACGUUAGACACAGGGCAUGAGCUUGACCUUAACCACUGUGCUAGGAUGAGGCAUUUCGUGCUUACCCAUGACCUGUGGCUUCUAAAGGCAGUCCAC